rnacentral:misc_RNA from 1 species
GAAAUGCGAUAUGUAAUGUGAAUUGCAGAAUUCAGUGAAUCAUCGAAUCUUUGAACGCCCCUUGCGCUCCUUGGUAUUCCUUGGAGCAUGCCUGUUUGAGUAUCAUGAAAUCUUCAAAGUAAAUCUUUUGUUAACUCAAUUGGUUUCUACUUUGGUAUUGGAGGUCUUUGCAGCUUCACACCUGCUCCUCUUUGUUCAUUAGCUGGAUCUCAGUGUUAUGCUUGGUUCCACUCGGCGUGAUAAGUUAUCUAUCGCUGAGGACACUGUAAAAGGUGGCCAAGGUAAAUGCAGAUGAACCGCUUCUAAUAGUCCAUUGACUUGGACAAUACUUUUAUGAUCUGAUCUCAAAUCAGGUAGGACUACCCGCUGAACUUAAGC